UGUUAGGCACUAUGUUUCACUGAAAUUCAAGACGAAGGUGAAGGCGAUAUCUGUAUCCUUCUACACAUGCAUUUUGGAAAGUUUGAUGAUUCGCCUAUAUUUCGUCAACUGAAGAGUUCCUACCGUCAAAUUAUAACUAAGACUGCGACAGCUGCUGCUCCACCAUCAUUUCUAAAAAAUUAGGACCCGGUCUGCCGACAAUUUUCAACUGUCAUUUUAUUUAACUUUCUGUAAGCCCUUUUAUUGUUCUGAUCUUUAGCAAGAUGAUCCUUUAACAAAUCCAACUGUCAUUUGUUCACAUUAACUUCCAUUUUUCCAUUUCUAACAGAUAAAUGAAAACAUCUACUAGCAGAAGAAACUGAAGAAACAAAUCCAUUAGAUUAAAGAAGCUCAGAACUACUCAUUGUUUCUUAUCUUAGAUAGGGUUGUAAAUAGAUUUAUAUAAGCAUUAUGGCUUAUCAUUUAUAUUUAAAACUUUCUACA